UGCAUAAGGGAACUAACUCUUCGUAUGCCUU
rnacentral:piRNA from 1 species